UACGGAGGGUGCAAGCGUUUAAUCGGAAUUACUGGGCGUAAAGAGUGCGUAGGUGGUUGGGUAAGUUAUGUGUGAAAUCCCUGGGCUUAACCUGGGCAGGUCAUAUAAUACUGCUUAACUCGAGUAUGGGAGAGGGUAGUGGAAUUUCCGGUGUAGCGGUGAAAUGCGUAGAGAUCGGAAGGAACACCAGUGGCGAAGGCGGCUACCUGGCCUAAUACUGACACUGAGGCACGAAAGCGUGGGGAGCAAACAGG
rnacentral:rRNA from 1 species